rnacentral:rRNA from 1 species
GGCACGUCUGCCUGGGUGUCACGCA